UACGUAGGGUGCAAGCGUUAAUCGGAAUUACUGGGCGUAAAGCGUGCGCAGGCGGUUUUGUAAGUCGGACGUGAAAUCCCCGGGCUCAACCUGGGAAUUGCGUUGGAGACUGCAAGGCUGGAGUCUGGCAGAGGGGGGUAGAAUUCCACGUGUAGCAGUGAAAUGCGUAGAGAUGUGGAGGAACACCGAUGGCGAAGGCAGCCCCCUGGGUCAAGACUGACGCUCAUGCACGAAAGCGUGGGGAGCAAACAGG
rnacentral:rRNA from 1 species